rnacentral:misc_RNA from 1 species
GAUCAUUACCGAGUUUACAACUCCCAAACCCCUGUGAACAUACCAAUUGUUGCCUCGGCGGAUCAGCCCGCUCCCGGUAAAACGGGACGGCCCGCCAGAGGACCCCUAAACUCUGUUUCUAUAUGUAACUUCUGAGUAAAACCAUAAAUAAAUCAAAACUUUCAACAACGGAUCUCUUGGUUCUGGCAUCGAUGAAGAACGCAGCAAAAUGCGAUAAGUAAUGUGAAUUGCAGAAUUCAGUGAAUCAUCGAAUCUUUGAACGCACAUUGCGCCCGCCAGUAUUCUGGCGGGCAUGCCUGUUCGAGCGUCAUUUCAACCCUCAAGCCCCCGGGUUUGGUGUUGGGGAUCGGCGAGCCCUUGCGGCAAGCCGGCCCCGAAAUCUAGUGGCGGUCUCGCUGCAGCUUCCAUUGCGUAGUAGUAAAACCCUCGCAACUGGUACGCGGCGCGGCCAAGCCGUUAAACCCCCAACUUCUGAAUGUUGACCUCGGAUCAGGUAGGAAUACCCGCUGAACUUAAGCAUAUCUAAA